rnacentral:tRNA from 1 species
GCGAAGGUGGCGGAAUGGCAGACGCACUAGCUUGAGGUGCUAGCGGGGCGACCCGUGGGGGUUCAAGUCCCCCCCUUCGCA